GGAAGGGUCGCAUAGUGGUCUAGUGCGCUCGCUUGGAAAGCGAGUGUGCCGUAAGGCACCGCGAGUUCGAAUCUCGCCCCUUCCG
rnacentral:tRNA from 5 species